rnacentral:tRNA from 1 species
GGAGAGAUGUCCGAGUGGCUGAAGGAGCACGGUUGGAAACCGUGUAAGCAUGAAAGUGCUUCGUGGGUUCGAAUCCCACUCUCUCCGCCA